ensembl:lncRNA
UUCUUUCUGGAAGUAUGUGGGGAUGAUCUGGUAAAGCCAAGUUAGACAAAUGAUUCAGUCUCCAUGGCCCAAUUUACCUACCACACGUCCCUCAUGAAGCAGGUGUAACAGGAAAUGAUGUUAAAUACCUCAGGCUUUCACAGAAUUGAGUCUUCAAAGUCAGUAUCAAUAUUUUUAUUGUUUUGUUCAGGACAGAUUACAUCCUCUCUUACGGUCACUUCACUUGAAUAAGUUUGAAAUGAUCAAGAUAGCAACGGGAAGAGAGGAAAGCAGGUUGCCACAUGGGGCUUGGAAGAACUGACUGUCUUGUUAGGGUGCGGUUGGAUAUCAGACCUCAGGUUGCACUCUAAGAUAAAACAGUGUUACUUGCUCACACAUUACACGAUUGACCUCUUACCAUGAGUGAGGACUGCUCUGGCCAGAAAGGGAAUCAGAAGAGUCCUGGUACAAAAAAAAGUCCAUCUAGAGCUUAGCAAAUGACUCACUGCACUGAAGAUGCUUUGGCUCUCAGCUCUGAGGAGGCCGAGCUCUUCUGCUGAGAAGUCUGUGACCCUUGCAAUUAGGUGGAGGUAGAGCUGCUGGGGAAUCAGAUAGAAGGAUUGAGAAACCCUGUGGAGAAAGCAAGAAAUUAUCUAUGUGUGCCAAAAAGAGGUGAUCAGAGAGCUGCAAUUAUGAAGUUAAUGGAGUAGUCAAAUACUACAACGUUGAAUGUACCCAAGAACCUGCAAACCUAUGCUGUCUGCCUAAGCAAUCUGCAUUAUGUGCUGGCAGCUAUGGCUCCUGUGGAAUUUAUGUUCUGAGCACUGAGGAAGAGCAUCUCCCCCUGAAGUCACCUAGCACUGAUUUCACAUUCUGGCUAUCCUAUAUUUGCUGGAACAUGUCCUCUUGUGUUUCGAUUUCCACGAGAAUUGCAGGAAAGGAGUUCUUGUAAUAGCUGCUCUUGCUUAUGCUUGUAGGAGUGGGAAGGAGGACAUCAACUGGUAGCAUAAGCCCAGACACCUGAGUACCAUACCAUUCUCCUCUGAGAUACUGGGCAAGUCUUUCCAUUUCUAUGUACUGCUCUUCUCCCUCUAAACUGAAGCUAAUAACUUUCUUCCAUUUUUUAUAAUUCCUGUACCAGUUUACUCUUUCAGGCCUGAAGUGCCUGACAGUGGCAGUUUUGGUGCUUGUACACUUUAUUGCUUUUGCUGCUCCCUACUAAUAUUAAGAGAGUGUACUCCGAAACUCUGAUAACAUAUCUGGAAGCCAAAUCAGAAAGCAUACUGCUUUUGUUUUUUUUUUUUCUUUUUCAGGGUUUGAGUAGCACAAUGAGCACCAUUAGGUUCACAAAUUUCUGCAAAGAAGAGACACCGUGCAAAAUACUGAAUUUUUGUCCGCAUAGCUAGGCUCCUUGUUUGACAUCUGAAGUCAG